UACGGGGGGGGCAAGCGUUGUUCGGAAUUACUGGGCGUAAAGGGCGCGUAGGCGGCCUGCUAAGUCGGACGUGAAAUCCCUCGGCUCAACCGGGGAACUGCGUCCGAUACUGGUGGGCUCGAAUCCGGGAGAGGGAUGUGGAAUUCCAGGUGUAGCGGUGAAAUGCGUGGAUAUCUGGAGGAACACCGGUGGCGAAGGCGGCAUCCUGGACCGGUAUUGACGCUGAUGCGCGAAAGCCAGGGGAGCAAACGGG
rnacentral:rRNA from 1 species